UACGUAGGGUGCGAGCGUUGCCCGGAUUUAUUGGGCGUAAAGGGCGCGUAGGCGGCUCUGCACGUCCGUUGUGAAAUCGCCCGGCUCAACUGGGCGGGGUCAGCGGAUACGGCAGAGCUCGAGCAAGCUAGGGGGCAAUGGAAUUCCCGGUGUAGUGGUGGAAUGCGUAGAUAUCGGGAGGAACACCAACGGCGAAAGCACUCUGCUGGGCCGACACUGACGCUGGAGGAGCGAAAGCGUGGGGAGCGAACAGG
rnacentral:rRNA from 1 species